rnacentral:lncRNA from 1 species
AACAUUUCAUUUUUCUUUUAAAUUCAUAUUGCUUCUAGAUAGGAAUGACACUACUUAAUCUUUGAAGCCAUCUCUACAUUCCCUUUUUUUUCUUCCAAUUAUCCGUCACCUCAUAUUGAUUCUAGAUAGGAACGACUUACUUAAGCGUUGAAUCCAUAUUAAACAUUACCUUUUUCUUUUGAAUUAGUUGUCACUUCAUGUUACUUCUAGACUAGAGGUAGGAUUAGAUACACUAUUCACCGCAGUCUUCAAGUCAACACAUAAUUCAAAGGUCAUGUCUAACAUUUCCUUUUUCUUUUGAAUUCAUCGUCACCACAUAUUGCUUUUAGAUAGAAAUGACACUACUUAACCAUUGAAUCAAUAUCUAACAUUUUAUUUUAUUUUUGAAUUAAUUGUCACCUCAUAUUUCUUCCAAAUAGGAAUGACACCACUUGUACACCGAAAGGAAUGACACUACUUAGUUGUUGCAUCCAUAUCUAUCAUUUCCUUUUUCUUUUGAAUUAACUAUCACCUCAUAUUGCUUCUAGAUAGGAAUGACCUUAACCGUUGAAUCCAUAUCUAACAUUUCCUCUUUAGAAUGAAUUGUCACCUCACCUCAUAUUGCUUCUAGAUAUGAAUGGCACUACUUAGCCGUUGAAACCAUAUCUAACAUUUCCUUUUUCUUUUCAAUUAAGUACUAUCACCUCAUAUUGCUUCUAGGCAUGAAUGACACUACUUAACCGUUGAAUCUAUGUCUAACAUUUCCUUUUUCUUUUGAAUUAACCGCCACCUCAUAUUGCUUCUGGAUGUAGGAUUAGAUAUACUAAUCACCACCGUCUUCAAGUUCACACAAAACUCAAAGACCAACUCUAAUUGCCUUAGCAAAGCUGGAAAUUCGAUUGCCAUCACUUUACAUGUUUUCAUGGAGUAACAAUAAAUAAUAAUGGGAAAACAAAAUAAUUCUCACUCGUGGUUGGGGUAUCAUAUAUAAGGAUUGAUGUAGUAAUUUUGUAAAAGGGUAGAUUUAGUUUAUUUUCUUCUUCAUGAUAGUUUACUUAUUUGUUGCCAAAGAACACACUGUAAAUUGAAUCCUUACUUCCUCAAAGGUUACAAGUUAAUAGUAUCUUACACCUUGAUAGGUAUGCCUUUAGUAUUAUGUUUUUUUUAAAAGAUAUUGCUUUAGUAUUUUUAUUUUUAUUUACUUUUUAGAUGGAUGGUUAUGAUAUUUCAUAAAAAAAAAAAAAUAAAAAAUAAAAAAUAAAAACAUGAUAUGGUCAUAAUAUGUUGCAAG